rnacentral:rRNA from 1 species
GACAGGGGGUGCAAACGUUGUUCGGAAUUACUGGGCGUAAAGCGCGUGUAGGCAGCUCGGAAAGUCGGAUGUGAAAGCCCUGGGCUCAACCUAGGAAGUGCAUUCGAAACUUCCGAGCUGGAGUGCUGGAGAGGAAGGCGGAAUUCUCGGUGUAGAGGUGAAAUUCGUAGAUAUCGAGAGGAACACCGGUGGCGAAGGCGGCCUUCUGGACAGUUACUGACGCUGAGACGCGAAAGCGUGGGGAGCAAACAGG